rnacentral:piRNA from 1 species
UGCAGAAAUCAUUUCCAAGUGUCUAAAGGAC